UACGUAGGGGGCAAGCGUUGUCCGGAAUCACUGGGCGUAAAGGGUGCGUAGGCGGGUCUUUAAGUCAGGGGUGAAAUCCUGGAGCUCAACUCCAGAACUGCCUUUGAUACUGAGGAUCUUGAGUUCGGGAGAGGUGAGUGGAACUGCGAGUGUAGAGGUGAAAUUCGUAGAUAUUCGCAAGAACACCAGUGGCGAAGGCGGCUCACUGGCCCGAUACUGACGCUGAGGAGACG
rnacentral:rRNA from 1 species